GCGAGAUCUACAACGUCUCGCAAGAAAGGAGAGGGCAAGGCUGGUGCCAGCCGCCGCGGUAAAACCAGCUCUUCAAGUGUUCAGGACUUUUAUUGAGCUUAAAGCACCCGUAGCGGGCCUCGCAAGUCCCCGGUUAAAUCCACGUGCUCAACCCGUGGCCGGCUGGGGAUACUACAAGGCUUGGGAGCCGGGAGAGGCAGCGGGUACCCAUGGGGUAGCGGUGAAAUGCGAUAAUCCCAUGGGGACCACCGGUGGCGAAAGCGCGCUGCUAGAACGCGUCCGACCGUCAUGGGUGAAAGCCUGGGUAGCGAACGGGAUUAGAUACCCCGGUAGUCCAGGCUGUAAACGAUGCCCGUUAAGUGUGGCACUAGCCAAGAGCUAGCGCCGUGCUGCAGCGAAAGCGUUAAACGGGCCGCUUGGGAAGUACGAUCGCAAGGUUGAAACUUAAAGGAAUUGACGGGGGAAUACCACAAGGGGUGAAGCCUGCGGUUUAAUUGGACUCAACACCGGGAAACUUACCAGGGGCGAUAGCUGAAUGAAGGACAGACUGACGAUCUUUCCUGACUGGCUAAGAGGUAGUGCAUGGCCAUCGCCAGUUCGUGCCGCGAGGUGUCUUGUUAAGUCAAGCAACGAACGAAACCCGUGCCGCUAAUUGCAACCGUUGGCGUUAUGACGCUCCGGGCACAUUAGCGGGAUUGCCGCUGCUAAAGCGGAUGAAAGAACGGGCCACGGUAGGUCAGUAUGCUCCGAAUCCACCUGGGCCACACGCGGGCUGCAAAGGCAGGUACAAUGGGCUGCUACGUCGAGAGACGACGCUAAUCUCGAAAGCCUGUCUCAGUUGGGAUUGUGGGCUGCAACUCGCCCU
rnacentral:rRNA from 1 species